GACGAACGCUGGCGGCGUGCUUAACACAUGCAAGUCGAACGGUAAGGCCCUUCGGGGUAUACGAGUGGCGAACGGGUGAGUAACACGUGGGUGAUCUGCCCUGCACUUCGGGAUAAGCCUGGGAAACUGGGUCUAAUACCGGAUAGGACCACUGCCUGCAUGGGUGGUGGUGGAAAGCUUUUGCGGUGUGGGAUGGGCCCGCGGCCUAUCAGCUUGUUGGUGGGGUGAUGGCCUACCAAGGCGACGACGGGUAGCUGGCCUGAGAGGGUGACCGGCCACACUGGGACUGAGAUACGGCCCAGACUCCUACGGGAGGCAGCAGUGGGGAAUAUUGCACAAUGGGCGCAAGCCUGAUGCAGCGACGCCGCGUGCGGGAUGACGGCCUUCGGGUUGUAAACCUCUUUCAGCACCGACGAAGCGCAAGUGACGGUAGGUGCAGAAGAAGGACCGGCCAACUACGUGCCAGCAGCCGCCGUAA
rnacentral:rRNA from 1 species